rnacentral:rRNA from 1 species
GAUGAACGCUAGCGGCAGGCUUAACACAUGCAAGUCGAGGGUAUUGGUUUUCGGACCAAGAGACCGGCGCACGGGUGCGUAACGCGUAUGCAAUCUACCUUUUGCAGAGGGAUAGCCCAGAGAAAUUUGGAUUAAUACCUCAUAGUAUAGUACUUUGGCAUCAAGGAACUAUUAAAGUCACAACGGCAAAGAAUGAGCAUGCGUCCCAUUAGCUAGUUGGUAAGGUAACGGCUUACCAAGGCUACGAUGGGUAGGGGUCCGUGAGAGGGAGAUCCCCCACACUGGUACUGAGACACGGACCAGACUCCUACCGGGAGGCAGCAGUGAGGAAUAUUGGAC